UCAGAUCAGCUCUUUUGCCAACAAUUGGGCUGCCUUUGUAAACACAGCCUAAGUAAAAUGAACUGUUGUAAAUAAUCAGCCACACGAGGAAUCAUAAGCAUUGCUACCGAAACAAGAUGACAGUGACAGUGUGCCCAUGGAUUCCAACACUAGAAAAGAAACCCACCAUGACCCAUUCCUGAAAGUUAGGCCACAACCUUCUGCAUCCCAGAACAUCCUUGCCCUUUUCAUCAAUCCUCUGACAAGCAGUACCCUUCAUUUAGCCAGUUUACCUCACCUGAAAUAAUAGUCGGGGGCCGGUUACCCCAAAAAAACAUCUUAAGGAUAAAUUGGUUCUAAGAUUAACUUCGCCUUAAAAUGCUUCUGGGAAAAUAGGCCCAGGUUGACUUGUAUUUGACAGAACUACAUUUUUGAAUAUGAUACUGCAACGCCACCCUCAGUCUGAUGAAUGUAUUACAUCUGCCAGAGAGGCGCUUAAUUGAAUGGUGUGUUUUCAAAGUGCCACAGGUGAUUCUGAUGGCAAUAAGUAAAUAGCAAGAACAACUAGCGACUUUUCAGAAUCGGCAGCAAUCGUGUUAAAAUAGUAUGCCUGGCAGUUACUGGUCAAUGACAUUUAGGAAGUCUGCUUCGUUUCCACCUACAAAAAAAGUUACAGAAAUGUUAAGAUUUCAGAUAGAGCCAAACCACUUCACUAUGCCUAUGUUUUGCAACGUCUUCGUGUGGUUCAUGGGAUAAAAACUGUCGGAAGAAAGCGAGAGGAGUUACUGGUGAAACACGGGUGUUUGGAGUGCCGCUGGAGAGUUUGCCACAGUGCUAUCGUAAACUCAUACAUCUCCUUGGCUAAGCUGGACCACUGGGAAGCCUGCCUAUCCACAGCUCUCCCUUGUGAUGUGGCCAGCCUACUGAAGCUGUUCUGUCUGGAGCUUCCAUAACCUCCCCCCACACCCCCUCCUAGACAUCCACUCUGCCCUGCUAAAGGCCCAGUUACUGCUCACUGUGGAGUAGAGGACCUCGGGCCUCCCAACUGCUGUCCUGCCUACUGCCUGACAAGAACUGUGCCUUCCUCACACUUUUUCCAUUUCCUCUCAAAGGUCUCCCGCAGGUGUGCUGAGAACAGUGACUAGUAACCUGGCUGUGGUCUAUGCCCCGAGCCACAGCCUGCUUCGCCAGGUCAGGCUCCAGUCCCUCAUCCCUGUUGGCCAGGUCAGGCUCCACCCCAGUGAUGACAGAGCUGCAGAGUACAGGGCAAAAAUAAUGGAUUCGUAGAAACGUUGGGUGUUUUUCAGCCAAAAGGCUGAGUGACGUGUCCGCCUGUCUCCUGGUCUGGGGAAAGCUGUACCGAACCCCCCUGGAAGAGCAGGAAGCUGUACCGAACCCCCCUGGAAGAGCAGGAAGCUGUACCGAACCCCCCUGGAAGAGCAGGAAGCUGUACCGAACCCCCCUGGAAGAGCAGGAAGCUGUACCGAACCCCCUGGAAGAGCAGGAAGCUGUACCGAA